rnacentral:misc_RNA from 1 species
GUACAUAAAGAGAGGAGAGCAGAUCGAAGAGGGAGACUCAGAGGGCACCAGCUUGUUACAGGACAUUUAUAAGCAAUCCGUACUCUCGGUAAAUAUUAUAUAGUCUUCGACUGGAUCCGCUCCUCUGUAAACCGCGGGAAUACACAGGAUUCAGUUCUCUUGCACACUGAACAUCCGUGUCUUGAGCAGCGAAAACCCGGAGUCACAGGUCUGUAUAUUCUACAUGUUGAUCUCUGUAAACUAUUCGUUAUCGUUACGUUAUUAUUUUAACAGUUGUUUAAGCAUUUACGGUUUUAAUAAAUUACUGUGUUUAUUUCAAAGGUGGAAUAAUUGAUGGACAGGGAUCGGGGUGAGUUGUGGAUCAGUCAGCGUCUUUGUUUCUGUGUUGUGUUAUAUAACUGUACGGCAGUAGAGUUCUGACAAUGACUGAUGACGUAGUACGUACUGUAUCUAGACAUUGUUGAUGGAAUUAUUAACCACCGCUUGAGACGAACUAACGAAUUCCCAGUUUCCAGGAAAUGAGAGGGAAAUUAUUGGUUUAUCACUAUAUGACAUAGAUAGAAUUAAUUAUUUAUUGAAGUUGGGGUGGGAUGGGGGCUGGUAAUGAAAGGGGGUGUGGACUGCUAAUGAAGAUGCGAAGAGCUAAAAAUACACGGGGAUCUAAUUCCCCACUACUCUUAAUCUCAACCCCUGUAAAACCAUUUAUAUUAGCACAUGAUAUAUUGUUACAUUUUAUCCAACAAUAAACAUGAUAAAAAUAUUGUUUUAAUAAAAAAAAUGCUUACUAUGGAGAAAAGAUAGGAAAAUAUUAUAGAAAUAUAUAUUAGUGUGAAUAAAUGAUUUUUGUGUGCAAUGUAAUAAUGAUUAACACAGUAAGUAUUUAAAAUUAUAAUCUUAUCAGUUCCUACACAUUUAAAAAAAAGUUGUCAGAUCUUUAUGCACUUGGACAAAACAGUAGUCAAAUUAAAAAUUAAAGAGUUUUCUCCAGAAAGAGAAAAAUUGCUGUAUCUGAUUAUUGUUGUGUAUAUAGUGAAGGUUUUUUUUAUCACAAUGUAUUAAUUAACGAUAGGAUCCUUUAUAGGCAUGAUAUAAAAUGACAUACUAACAUCAAUGAAAUGU